CAGUAGCCGCGGUAAAACGGAGGGGGCUAGCGUUGUUCGGAAUUACCGGGCGUAAAGCGCACGUAGGCGGCUUGGUAAGUUAGAGGUGAAAGCCUGGAGCUCAACUCCAGAAUUGCCUUUAAGACUGCCGAGCUAGCAGGUGAGAGAGGUAAGUGGAAUUCCGAGUGUAGAGGUGAAAUCCGUAGAUAUUCGGAAGAACACCAGUGGCGAAGGCGGCUUACUGGCUCAUACUGGACGCUGAGGUGCGAAAGCGUGGGGAGCAAACAGGAUUAGAUACCCGUGUAGUCCCUGUCUCUUAUAC
rnacentral:rRNA from 1 species